GACGGGAGUAGUGUUUCACCCUCAGGUUAUUAGAAAGAAGGAAAGGAACUUAUUCAGUGAUGGAAAAUGUUAGCGUUGAUCAGCGCGCAAUCGAAGAAUGAGAUUAUGUGGUCCUAAAGAGAGAAAUGUGUUCAAAGCCGUGCAAGUGCAAAUUAAAAGGAACAUAGUCUUUGAGAAGCAAUGGUUGCACCUUGAUAAUGCUAUUGGCCAGCUCUUUGGAACUUCUUUUGAAGUUGCUGCUGGGGGAACCCUUCAGGCAUGAAAACCAAAUCCUGUGGAAAAUCCUAAAGAAACCAAGGAAGAGGGCAUGGACAAUGGGAAGAUCCCACAAACUCACAAGAGAUGAUAUUGAGACUUUAAAAGAGCAAGGUCUAAAGGAUGUCGCCAAAGUCUGCGAAUUCACUAGUAGACGAGAGUGAAGCCCCAAAACACUCUGUACAGAAAACAGGGGAAGAUGUAGGUGGAGGUGGAGAAAGGCAGUUCUCAGGCCAGUUCAGAGGUGGACAUGGUCAUCAUUGAGGAACCUCAAAAUAAAGAGAAAGAGGAAUGGGCUGCUCGGAGAGACGGUAAAGUAAGAGGGGUAUUGCAGUCUUGUAUUUCAGAUGUCUUAACAACCAAAGUCUGAUUUUUGGAGUUAUGUCACAAAAGCCUUUUGUUGAAGUAAUUAUGAAAAUAAUUCACCAGAUUGUGUUGACCCAAUUUUAUAUUUAAAUACUGUAAAAUGCUACAGGACAUUAUCUUUUGAUCAUUGCUUUCAUUAUUCAGGUAGUUAACAAAUGACACCAAAUUUAAUCCAGAGUUAAAACUGAUUUUAUGAAGCUUGAUAUAAAUAACCCUGGCCUGGAUUAAAUCAAAAUGAUGGCACCACCACAAAGUAGAGUUUUUUUUGUGCUGUAAACUUUGAUUUAUAUUCAGGUCCAUGUGGUAUACAUGUUGCAGGCUGAGGAAAAGAAAAUGAAACAGGAAGAGAAGAGAAAGAAACAUAUGGAAGCUGCUGCUUUAUUACCAAGAAGAAAUACUGAUGGGUACGAUAUACACACACACAGAACAUUUGUCGGUUUGCGGUGGGGCUGGGGCAUAUAUCAGGUUCGGUGUUAAGGCUGAAACCUGAAAAUAGACCCAGAUAAACAAUUGUACAAAUGUAUUGUAAUACGUACAAUUGCGUGUUUGCUUGCUGGUACAUGGUGUAGAUGUCCGGUGUUUGAGGAUGGGUGAAAUAUUUAAUUAGCGCUUGAAAUUGGAGUUAGGGUUUUUUU